rnacentral:rRNA from 1 species
GACGUAGGGCGCGAGCGUUGUCCGGAUUUAUUGGGCGUAAAGAGCUCGUAGGCGGCUUGUCGCGUCGAAUGUGAAAACUCGGGGCUCAACUCCGAGCUUGCAUUCGAUACGGGCAGGCUAGAGUUCGGUAGGGGAGACUGGAAUUCCUGGUGUAGCGGUGAAAUGCGUAGAUAUCAGGAGGAACACCGAUGGCGAAGGCAGGUCUCUGGGCUGACACUGACGCUCAUGCACGAAAGCGUGGGGAGCAAACAGG